rnacentral:rRNA from 1 species
AUUGAACGCUGGCGGCAUGCCUUACACAUGCAAGUCGAACGGCAGCGGACCUUCGGGUGCCGGCGAGUGGCGAACGGGUGAGUAAUAUAUCGGAACGUACCUUUCAGUGGGGGAUAACGUAGCGAAAGUUACGCUAAUACCGCAUAUUCUGUGAGCAGGAAAGCAGGGGAUCGCAAGACCUUGCGCUGAUUGAGCGGCCGAUAUCAGAUUAGCUAGUUGGUGAGGUAAAGGCUCACCAAGGCGACGAUCUGUAGCGGGUCUGAGAGGAUGAUCCGCCACACUGGAACUGAGACACGGACCAGACUCCUACGGGAGGCAGCAGUGAGGAAUAUUGGACAGUGGGCGCAAGCCUGAUCCAGCCAUGCCGCGUGCAGGAUGAAGGCCCUCUGGGUUGUAAACUGCUUUUCUACGGGAAUAAACCCCUUUACGUGUAAAGGGCUGAAGGUACCGUAGGAAUAAGCACCGGCUAACUCCGUGCCAGCA